CCAAUACACAUGAUCUUGCUGGUGCUUACAUUGUUUCUGAAGAAUAUUUAGAACUAAUAAUGGCUUUUCCUGUUAAAUUUGCAGAGAGAAGGGAUGACCAUUCAUGCUGAACGGCUCAACUUUCAUCGUUAUAUCUCACACUUCCGUUCUGUUCAUAGGGGUUGUGCUUUUGCUAAAAUGCGUACAACAUCUGUUAGAAAGUUACUCCCGGAAUCAUGGGGUUUCCUGUGUCCAGUUCAUACACCUGACGGAGAGCCUUGUGGUUUACUGAAUCACAUGACUUCUACAUGACGUGUUUCAUCGUUCUACAACUCAGAAGGGGUGAUCAAAAAUUUUGGGGAAAUGAAGAAGUUGCUUUCUGCGGUUCGUGUUGGAAUGAACCCAGUGUUACCGAAGAUUGAGCAAACCGGUCCCGAAGAAGUACUCCAUGUCCAUUUGGAUGGGUGCAUUCUUGGUACUAUUGCUUCUGCUAUGAUUGAGAAAGCAGUUAAUUAUCUUCGUACAUUGAAACUUCUGGCACAAUCACUUGCUAUUACUGACUGACAUGUCCACUCCUCAUAUGUGAGAUAUUGGGGUUGAUAUAUAUGUUGUUCGUUUCCAUGUACUUGUUGUGCACUAACAUUUAUCGAAU